rnacentral:sRNA from 1 species
AAUUAGGUUCACAUGAACCUGUACAAUUUAAGCAAUCCACAAAAAUUGGCCCCCGCAAAUUUUAAUGAUUCCACAGUAUUUGAUACAAGUUUUUAGCCCCCCUUAAUUCGCCAUAUUUUAUGCAGUGAUUCAGGUACAUUGCAUUGUACAUGAUGUCAUUUUGUAGAAGAGUUGAUAUUAGAUACAUUGUAUAUUUUUCACCAGUUUAUUUGAUUUAUAUGCACUCACUAGCAGUAUGUGACAUCAAAAAUGACAGUAUUUUUAUAAUAUAUUUAUAAUAUUUUUUAUAAUAUUUUGUUUUUUCAAGCAUGAAUUAUAGCUCAAUAUUUUCUGAAAGAAAGAAAAACAAAAUACAAAUUAUGGAAAUACAUCACAAAGAAAAUAUACAUUCAGUUAAAUAAUGAUGUUCAUUUUAGGGGGCCACUUUAGGGACUUAUCAGAUAUAGUCCUUUGACCUUGAAUUUAUUGAAUUUCUGAAGAAUUUAAUAGAGAUUACUAUCGCAUGUGGUCCGUUAGUAAUUGCACAAUAUGUACAGUGAUAGAGAUAAGAUGCCAUUAUCUGACACAAUUGUGAGACUUGGUGACGAUUUAUGUGCUAAUUGUCUUCAUACAAGCAUUUUGGUGCAUAUUUUCAUUAAAAUUUUCCAAGUUGC